UACAGAGGUCUCAAGCGUUGUUCGGAUUCAUUGGGCGUAAGGGUGCGUAGGCGGCGCGGUAAGUCGGGUGUGAAAUCUUGGAGCUUAACUCCGAAACUGCAUUCGAUACUGCCGUGCUUGAGGACUGGAGAGAGACUGGAAUUUACGGUGUAGCGGUGAAAUGCGUAGAUAUCGUAAGGAAGACCAGUGGCGAAGGCAGCUCGCUGGGACGUUACUGACGCUGAGACGCGAAAGCGUGGGAGCAAACAGGAU
rnacentral:rRNA from 1 species